GUCCACGCCGUAAACGAUGAGUGCUAGAUGUUUCUGGUAUUGACCCCGGAGGUGUCGUAGCUAACGCGUUAAGCACUCCGCCUGGGGAGUACGGCCGCAAGGCUAAAACUCAAAGGAAUUGACGGGGGCCCCGCACAAGCGGUGGAGCAUGUGGUUCAAUUCGACGCAACGCGAAGAACCUUACCUGGGUUGGAACCCUCCAGAAGUCCGCAGAGACGCGGAUGUGCUCGCAAGAGAACUGGAUGUCCAGGUGCUGCAUGGCUGUCGU
rnacentral:rRNA from 1 species